UAGAGUUUUUCCCGGAUGAAAAGCCAAGCAGGCCCUUAAUAACCACUGUGUUUACCAGAAGAAUCAGUAUGAGAACACUAAAGAGAGACCUUCGAGAUCAUGGUGAAGAAGCCUUAAUACAGUUGGAGCUGUACCUAACCGUGAGUCUGCCUCUUUCCCAGGAGUGCAAGAACGUGUGGUGCCCUCUGUGGAGGUCAGGGCCGUUCUUUUCAGCUCUCUGCUUCGUAUUGUCAGUGUGAGUCACCACAACUUGUAAUGAGCGUCAUUAAUUGGGUUUAAAAAUACUGAAAAUUUUUAGCCUAGGGAAAAGUUUCUUAUGAAAGAGACAUUCUCUUCUGAGAUCAUCAUAAUAUGGGUUUGUGUGUUUGGGAACUGGCCACAAUUUUAAAGAUCUAAUUAUGCAUAUAAAAUGGGAAUUAUUGGAAUUUCACAGGAACAGAUUUAAACAGUCUUAAAUUGUGUAUCUCCUUUAUUGUAAUGUAUUGAAAAUUUUAGAGAAACUUUAGUUAACAUUUUAUUAAGUGCCAAUGUCAGAAUAUAACAAAUUAUAGUUUCUUAUGAGUGACAGGCCUACAGUUAUUAUUUUGGAAUAUUUGAUGAAGGAAAAGCUUACCCACUGGUUACUUGUAUAUGUAAGUCAAACUGUGAAGAUAAGGUGGAUUACAAAAGCUGUGGAAAGAAUGUUUUAGCCUGUAGACUCAGUCCUUUCCUGUCAGUUACUUAAUCUCCUCAUGCAGAUGUGAAUUAGAUGCCACUAUAAAGUCCAAGUCUUGGGUUAGGGAUUAGAUGCCAGGGAAACAUUUCCUGCCUAAAUCUAUGUAUGUGUGCCGUUCAAAAAAAAAUAAUUUAUGUGGAAAAGGAAAGUUGGGAAUAAAUGACUAUCAUAAAAAAUUCCCAUAGGCUAGCACUUCAAUUCCAUUUUAUUGUUCAUUAGUUAUGUAAAGCUUAAUUUUCAUUUCUUUUAUUUUUUUAAUCAGCGAAUCAUAAGACAGCUAUAUACAUAUAUAUUACAUCAUCAGAUCUAGAGUUUCAUAGAAGGCUUUACCCUGAGUUCUGUUGCAUACCUAGAGAAAGCCAAGCUCAGAGCAGAAUUGUCAGAGUGUAAUUAUCUUCUUUUAGUAGGAAUUUAUGUCCUGUGCCAGAGGAACUUUCUGGUGCUGAUUUCAAGACAAAGGAAGGGGUCAUUGUAGUUGUGGCUGUGGCUGGCUGAAAGGCAGGUACACAGACACUUGGC
rnacentral:lncRNA from 1 species